rnacentral:lncRNA from 1 species
AAAAGGAAAAUGACACUAGGUUUACCCCUGAAAAAGGAGCCCCUUGCAUUCAGGAUCCCGAAUUUCAAAUCAGCCGUGGUAUUUUUGUUGUUGUUAACUUAAGCCAACCUCGACUCUUCUUUCUAUUGUUGUAAGCAGUGAGCCCUGUCUUACCUGAUUUCAUUUUUUAAAAUGUAUUUGCAAAAUAACGUGUGUAUUAGUAAGAUACCUGGCCGUUUUUAGAAGUCAAAGAGGUAUAGAUGGCAGAAGCAUUCUCUUUGAUGCUUUCAUAGGUCAGAGAAAGCUACAACAAAUGCAGUGGUCUCUGAAAGGAUGUUUUAUUGCAAAUAGAAAAUGAUCAUUAUUAACAACUCUGACAUUAUACUGCAUGAAACAUUUACAUGUUAAGUAUUCUUUCUGCUUCUGCUAGUCUGUGACCCUUGAAUUUUUCACACAUGAAGACAUGGAUGCAUAUCAAAUAAAAGAUUAAAGAUCAUGGAUAAUAGUAAUACAAUGGGGAACCAAAUGUUCAUGUUUCAUUAGGAAAAAUAAAAAGAAAGAGAGAAACUUA